rnacentral:lncRNA from 1 species
CCUAGUCUAUUGCUGUCCUAUUUAAAGUCUCGCCGCCGCCUCUUUCUUUGCCAAUCAAGAGUUUGUUUCCAUAAAUGAUAGCUUCCUUAUUUUUCUCCUUGAAUUGUUGCCAAAGGUAUUCUUUGAAGAUAUUUCCUAAUCCCACGUAACUUCAAGUACAUCUCCCAAGAAUUGCAGCAGCUUCCAGGGACAGGUCCCACUGUCCGUUUUUUUCAUGCAGCUCUGCGGUUUUUGGCGUGGGCAUGCUCUGGAAUGACUAGUCUUCUGAAAUUUUGCCUCUUUUUCUCACUUUUAACACCGGUUACCAGCAAAUAACACAAAUACCAAAUAUGAGUAGAAACCCAUUACUUUGGACAAUAAAUGACCAAAAUCAAGACCAAACAUCAAUGAAUAAAGCGCACAAUUAUCUCCCUAUCAACUACAUUGGGCCUACUUGGGAGGUGUACUUUUUGGAUAUUUGUCUAAAAUUUUAAUGUAGUAUACUAUAGAAUUUUUAACAAAAAAUUGUGAAUG